GCCGGCAGCUAGCUCUCUGCAACUCUCACAUGGUCGCCCACUGAAGCUAAGCAGGGCUGCGCCCGGUCAGUACCUGGAUAGGAGACCACAUGGGAAAGCUAGGUUGCUGCCAGAA
rnacentral:rRNA from 1 species